UACGGAGGGCGCAGGCAUUGUUCGGAAUCACUGGGCGUAAAGCGCGUGUAGGCGGCUCUGCAAGUCGGGUGUGAAAUCCCGAGGCUCAACCUCGGAACUGCACUCGAUACUGCUUGGCUCGAGUCCCGGAGAGGGUGGCGGAAUUCCCGGUGUAGGGGUGAAAUCCGUAGAUAUCGGGAGGAACACCAGUGGCGAAGGCGGCCACCUGGACGGUGACUGACGCUGAGACGCGAAAGCGUGGGGAGCAAACAGG
rnacentral:rRNA from 1 species